rnacentral:tRNA from 1 species
GCGGAUAUGGUGGAACGCAAGACACAGUCGUCUUAGAAACUACCGCCUGCAAGGGCGUGGGGGUUGAAAUCCCUCUAUCCGCA